CCGCGGCUAGACGGAAAGACCCCGUGAACCUUUACUACAGCUUGGCACUGAACAUUGAACCUACAUGUGUAGGAUAGGUGGGAGACUUUGAAGCAGAGACGCUAGUUUUUGUGGAGUCGUCCUUGAAAUACCACCCUUGUAGUUUUGAUGUUCUAACGUUGGCCCCUGAAUCGGGGUUACGGACAGUGCCUGGUGGGUAGUUUGACUGGGGCGGUCUCCUCCCAAAGAGUAACGGAGGAGCACGAAGGUUGGCUAAGUACGGUCGGACAUCGUACGGUUAGUGUAAUGGUAGAAGCCAGCUUAACUGCGAGACAGACACGUCGAGCAGGUACGAAAGUAGGUCAUAGUGAUCCGGUGGUUCUGAAUGGAAGGGCCAUCGCUCAACGGAUAAAAGGUACUCCGGGGAUAACAGGCUGAUACCGCCCAAGAGUUCAUAUCGACGGCGGUGUUUGGCACCUCGAUGUCGGCUCAUCACAUCCUGGGGCUGAAGUCGGUCCCAAGGGUAUGGCUGUUCGCCAUUUAAAGUGGUACGCGAGCUGGGUUUAGAACGUCGUGAGACAGUUCGGUCCCUAUCUGCCGUGGGCGUUUGAGAAUUGAGAGGGGUUGCUCCUAGUACGAGAGGACCGGAGUGGACGAACCUCUGGUGUUCCGGUUGUCACGCCAGUGGCAUUGCCGGGUAGCUAUGUUCGGACGGGAUAACCGCUGAAAGCAUCUAAGCGGGAAGCCCCCUUCAAGAUGAGACUUCCCUGAGGCCUUGCGCCUCCUGAAGGGCCCUUGAAGACUACAAGGUUGAUAGGCUGGGUGUGGAAGCACAGCAAUGUGUUGAGCUAACCAGUACUAAUUGCCCGUGAGGCUUGACC
rnacentral:rRNA from 1 species